AAAAUGGCUGCAAGUGAACAAGCAAAGACAAAGAAGAUCUGUCAUUGGAGGAUAAAAUAAAAGCGCGUGUCAGAAUUGCAGCUGCACUGUUGGAGCCUCCAUGGGAUAUUUUUAGGCAAUGCAAGAAUCUGACAGCGGUUCUCAUCCUCUAACCAUAAGCAGGAUCCACGUUGAACAGUAACCAUCAUCCUUAUGACUGCAGUGGCUCUUGUGCAGGUAAACAAGAGCAUGAGCCUCCAUGCCAGGCCAGCAUAGAACUUUGGGUAGGAGGACUUCAAAGGGAGUGUUUCCUUGUCCCUCACCAAUCACCUGUCGGGGAUUUUGAUAUGCCCCACCCCAGCCUGCUCAACAAGUUUUACAGCAGAAAACUCAGUAGGAAGGACAGCACUUUUGUGUUUUCCUCUCAUUCCCUGUUUUCCUUGGGCUCUUGAUGUCAAUUUCAGUUUUUGCCACUCACCAGGGUACUUUUCAGGAACAUGACCUUCAUGCCAGCCAGUGGCGACAAGAGCUCACAGAGCCUUCCGCAGGAUGAGAUCAUAGGAAGGACCCACUGGAAAGGCAGAACAGUGCCUGCUGCUCAGUCAAUGCCUGAUGAUGGAGUGAACAGAUUUCUGCUUUCGGUGGCCACCUCUGGGUCACAGAAGGCCCAGAAGUUACAAGCAACCUCUGGUAUUUGAAGAAUGGAGAAAAAGGACAGAGAAGUAUGAAAAGGAGCCUCGUUUGGAUGCAUCCACUGAGCAUUGAAGGCGAGGACCCUUAGGUGGCCCCGUCCUUUGCAAACAGGUUCAGUGUUUCUCCCACACUCACUCCAGGGCCCAGAAUCCAUGCACACCUGCAGGGUGGGGCAGGCCGACUCAGACUGACACGUCCAGCCUCUGCCCAACUCCUCUGUUGGAGGCUUUGUGGGGAAUUUGGCAGAGCCUGGCCAUUCCUUCACUAAUUCGGCCGUUGUAGAAAAACCACCCAGUUAACAGGUCCGAGCCGUUUCCUCUAAUCCUGGGGACUAGAGGUGACUGCCACUUUGAGGCCAGUUAAGAGUUCUUGCCCCCUCCUGGAAGCCCUGCACUGCUGGGAAGCAG
rnacentral:lncRNA from 1 species